CAGGGCAGGAAGAAGUGGACAA
rnacentral:miRNA from 1 species